GGUUUUAUAUUCAAAAAAUGAUAUUAGAUUGCAAUUCUAAAGUUGUGAUUCCACUAAAACCU
rnacentral:tRNA from 1 species